rnacentral:lncRNA from 1 species
CGAAUUCACGAAGCAAGACCCGCCGCCUUCAGGCGGCGGGCUCUUGCCCCAGCCCAAGCAGCGCGAAAACGCUGCCAAAUGUGGCAGCGCUUUCGCGCUGCUGAAGACAGCGGCAGCGAUGCCGCUGCUGUUGCAACGGCAUCGCAUGCCGCUGCUGAACCUGCGGCAGGUGCCGCUGGUUGUAGCGGCGUCUGCCGCCCGACCCCUAUGCCGCCCCUCUGCCGGUCGGCGCCGGCGGUUGCAGCCCAACCUUUUUUUUUUUUUUGAAAUCUGAUUUCACAAACU